ACGCUGGCGGCAUGCUUUACACAUGCAAGUCGGACGGCAGCACAGAGAAGCUUGCUUCUUGGGUGGCGAGUGGCGAACGGGUGAGUAACAUAUCGGAACGUACCGAGUAAUGGGGGAUAACUAAUCGAAAGAUUAGCUAAUACCGCAUAUUCUCUGAGGAGGAAAGCAGGGGACCUUCGGGCCUUGCGUUAUUCGAGCGGCCGAUAUCUGAUUAGCUAGUUGGUGGGGUAAAGGCCUACCAAGGCGACGAUCAGUAGCGGGUCUGAGAGGAUGAUCCGCCACACUGGGACUGAGACACGGCCCAGACUCCUACGGGAGGCAGCAGUGGGGAAUUUUGGACAAUGGGCGCAAGCCUGAUCCAGCCAUGCCGCGUGUCUGAAGAAGGCCUUCGGGUUGUAAAGGACUUUUGUCAGGGAAGAAAAGGCUGUUGCUAAUACCGACAGUUGAUGACGGUACCUGAAGAAUAUGCACCGGCUAACUACGUGCCAGCAGCCGCGGUAAUACGUAGGGUGCGAGCGUUAAUCGGAAUUACUGGGCGUAAAGCGAGCGCAGACGGUUACUUAAGCAGGAUGUGAAAUCCCCGGGCUCAACCUGGGAACUGCGUUCUGAACUGGGUGACUAGAGUGUGUCAGAGGGAGGUAGAAUUCCACGUGUAGCAGUGAAAUGCGUAGAGAUGUGGAGGAAUACCGAUGGCGAAGGCAGCCUCCUGGGAUAACACUGACGUUCAUGCUCGAAAGCGUGGGUAGCAAACAGGAUUAGAUACCCUGGUAGUCCACGCCCUAAACGAUGUCAAUUAGCUGUUGGGCAACUUGAUUGCUUAGUAGCGUAGCUAACGCGUGAAAUUGACCGCCUGGGGAGUACGGUCGCAAGAUUAAAACUCAAAGGAAUUGACGGGGACCCGCACAAGCGG
rnacentral:rRNA from 1 species